rnacentral:misc_RNA from 1 species
GUACUUUAUUUCGGUUUUCGUUAUGAAUGAUAAGUUAAUCGAUAUUUUGGGUGAGUUACAAUCUUUUCAUUCACCCUUAUACAGAGGUUUUCUCCUCUCAGCAAAUGCAGCAAGGCCUUCUACGCGAUCUUUUGUGUCUAACAGUUGUUCAUAGCAAUCCCACUCCAAAGCUAAACCUGAUUCUACAUCUAGCUCCACUCCUUGGUCAAUAGCACGUUUUGCCAUCCUCAAAGCAAGGGGACCCUUCUGAUUAAUAUCCCUAGCAAGUUCAAGUGCCUUGAGACGAGCCUCACCAGCAGGAACACAGUAAUUGACAAGCCCAAUUGAUCUAGCAUCUUUCCCACUUAUCUUUCGUCCAGUAAAUAUUAUAUCUUUUGCAAUUGAUUUUCCAACCAGUCUAGGAAGCCGUUGUGUUCCUCCUGCUCCUGGUAUUAUAGCAAGCCCUGUUUCAGGUAAGCCCAUCACUGCAUCUUCACCACAUAUCCGGAUAUCACAAGACAUUGCCAUUUCAAGCCCCCCACCCAAUGCUAUACCCUCAAUGGCAGCAAUUGUAGGGAUAUGAAGAUUCUCCAAAUAGGAAAAUGUUGAUCGCAAAGUGCUUACAAAAACCUGAACUUCUGAAAGAAUCAUAGUUUUUCGUUCCUUCAAAUCAGCUCCAGCACAAAACACUUUAGGAACCGAACUGCAGAUCAUCAAAACAUUUGCUGAACGUUCAUUACUCACAGCUUCAAAU